rnacentral:rRNA from 1 species
AGAGUUUGAUCAUGGCUCAGAACGAACGCUGGCGGCAGGCCUAACACAUGCAAGUCGAACGAGAAGCCACCUUCGGGUGGUGGACAGUGGCAGACGGGUGAGUAACGCGUGGGAACGUGCCUUUCGGUUCGGGAUAACCCAGGGAAACUUGGGCUAAUACCGGAUACGCCCUUCGGGGGAAAGAUUCAUCGCCGAAAGAUCGGCCCGCGUCGGAUUAGCUUGUUGGUGGGGUAACGGCCUACCAAGGCGACGAUCCGUAGCUGGUCUGAGAGGAUGACCAGCCACACUGGGACUGAGACACGGCCCAGACUCCUACGGGAGGCAGCAGUGGGGAAUAUUGGACAAUGGGCGAAAGCCUGAUCCAGCCAUGCCGCGUGGGUGAAGAAGGCCCUAGGGUUGUAAACCCCUUUCAGCGGGGAAGAUAAUGACGGUACCCGCAGAAGAAGCCCCGGCUAACUCCGUGCCAGCAGCCGCGGUAAUACGAAGGGGGUUAGCGUUGCUCGGAAUCACUGGGCGUAAAGCGCACGUAGGCGGAUUGCUAAGUCAGGGGUGAAAUCCUGGAGCUCAACUCCAGAACUGCCCUUGAUACUGGCGACCUUGAGUCCGGGAGAGGUGAGUGGAACUGCGAGUGUAGAGGUGAAAUUCGUAGAUAUUCGCAAGAACACCAGUGGCGAAGGCGGCUCACUGGCCCGGUACUGACGCUGAGGUGCGAAAGCGUGGGGAGCAAACAGGAUUAGAUACCCUAGUAGUCC